GGCGGUGGUUUAACUAAUCAGAGGAAUUUGUCCUAUAAUCGAUAGCCCUCGUUAUAUUUUACUUAGGGUUGUAGUCAGCUUGUAUACCGCCGUCAUCAGGAAAUCUUUAGAAAGUAUUUUCAAGAAUUUAUAUAAAAAUAUGUCAGGUCAAGGUGCAGCUUAUACCUAAGCAGAGAUGAAUUACAAUAAAAUAAUUUAAUACGGAUUACUUGGUGAAAGGGGGUAAGAAGGUGGAUU
rnacentral:rRNA from 1 species